UACGUAGGGCGCAAGCGUUGUCCGGAAUUAUUGGGCGUAAAGAGCUCGUAGGCGGUCUGUCGCGUCCGUCGUGAAAGCCCACAGCUUAACUGUGGGUCUGCGGUGGAUACGGGCAGACUAGAGGCAGGUAGGGGAGAACGGAAUUCCCGGUGUAGCGGUGAAAUGCGCAGAUAUCGGGAGGAACACCAGUGGCGAAGGCGACUACCUGGCCUGUUUCUUGACGCUGAGGCGCGAAAGCUAGGGGAGCAAACGGG
rnacentral:rRNA from 1 species